CAAAUGGGCCAGAGGUAAAAUACCAUGUGACCUGAUAACGUGUGAAGACGCCGAGUCAAAAGACUUACACAGGACAGAUGGCUCAAAGGUUGAGAGAUGUGCUACUCUGGCGGAGAAGACAGGUUCGGUUCCCAGCACUCACAUGGUGGUUCACAGCCAUCCAUAACUGUAGCUCCAGGGAAAACAACACCUUCUCCCAACCUCUGCCGAAGAUGCUGCUAUAAAAACGAUGGCUGUCGAAGGUGGACAUUUUCUAUUCACUGCAUGAGAUGAAUUGUCCUCUGCGGCUGAACUGCUCUUUAGGAUAAUGAGGUCUGUCACCAAAGGAACAACCCAGAGAUCUCCAUGGGAGGAAUAAGGAAUUGAGCAUCAGUCUCUCUGGAUCCUGAUACAAAUCCUGAUGGCACUGCUUGCUGGCUCCGGGGGCUGAGGAAAGUGCCUUUGUCCACCUCUUCUCCAUCCUGUUCUAAGUUUCAGUUCUCAUCCAAAC
rnacentral:lncRNA from 1 species